CAUAAAACAUCUCAAGCAGAAAGUUUUGGUGAUCAUUAGUCUCACCUCAUUGGUCUCGCUUCUUUCAGAACUCACAAUCCGGUGCAUUUAUUGCCCAGUGUCUGAAACCACAGUUAGAUAGCAAUUACUUUCUCAUGGUCAGAGGUGGAAGUCCAGCACCAUUAAUAUGAGACAGCAGUUUGAAACACAGGAUAAAUAAUAUUUGACAGAGAAAAAGAUAGUAAAAUCAUCCACAUACCAUGGAGACUACCAAGAUGUCAAGUCAGUCAGAUACUUUCUUGGGGGCCUUGAAACAGGAAGCUAAGGAAUGCAGG
rnacentral:lncRNA from 1 species